rnacentral:rRNA from 1 species
AUUGAACGCUAGCGGCAGGCCUUACACAUGCAAGUCGAACGAGUGGCGGACGGGUGAGUAAUGUAUCGGAACCUGCCCGGUGGCGGGGGAUAACUACUGGAAACGGUAGCUAAUACCGCAUACCAUCGGAUGUGCCCAUAUGGGAUUAGCUAGUUGGUGGGGUAAAGGCUCACCUAGGCGACGAUCCCUAGCUGGUCUGAGAGGAUGACCAGCCACACUGGAACUGAGACACGGGCCAGACUCCUACGGGAGGCAGCAGUGGGGAAUAUUGGACAAUGGGCGAAAGCCUGAUACAGCCAUGCCGCGUGUAUGAAGAAGGCCUUCGGGUUGUAAAGUACUUUCAGCGGGGAGGCGUUACCCGCAGAAGAAGCACCGGCUAACUACGUGCCAGCAGCCGCGGUAAUUC